UCAACUUUCACACACUGAGUUCCUUUAUCUAUAGAACAGGUACAGAAUGUGCUGCAGUAGUGCAAGCUUCCCCAUAGCACUCCAACAGAGUGCAACAGACUCUUCCAGAGGGACCACUUCCAGGGCUGGGAGGGUAAUUGAGUCUCCGUUCACAAUUAAGUCCUUAGCUUUA
ensembl:misc_RNA